rnacentral:ncRNA from 1 species
UAUCUUCAGGGCAGGGUGAGAUUCCCGAUUGGCGGUAUAGUCCGCGAGCGUGAAAACGCAGGACUUGGCAAGGUUCAAGUCAGGAUUUGGUGAAAUUCCAAGACCAACAGUAUAGUCUGGAUAGAAGAAGAUA